ensembl:lncRNA
UUUCAUUUUUAUACUUUUUAGUUGGCCAAGAUUUCUAAAAAUCCUUUCUUUGUAUUGGUCUUAAGUAAUAUUCUAAUUUUCUGAGAUACUGAAUUUGGGAUUUUCCUUAGUUGUCAGUUAUAAUCAUCAAAAUUAAAAGAAAUAAACAUUUGAAAUAUAUCAGUCUGUGUGUAAUGAAUGAAUAUAAUAUACAAGUUUCACUUUUUGAAUGGAAUUAAUGAAAUAAAUCAACUUUUUGAUGAUAUUCUAAUUAUAUGACCAGCACCUGUAUAUCUAUCUAUCUAUCUAUCUAUCUAUCUAUCUAUAUAUAUAUAUAUAUAUAUAUAUAUAUAUAUAUAAGAUCAGCAUUUAAACACUACAAUAAGCACACAAGAAUUAUCUAUAUAAGUAUUAUAUAAAAUGAUUAAUACAAAUUUGUUCUGCAGUUCGCUGGUUUAUGUGGUUACGCUGGUACACCAUUUUGUUUUUAUUUUAGAUAUUUCAGAUACCCCUGAGUUGGCUGAUUGCUGCAGCUAUCCCUGAUCUAGUCAAGUUCAAUUUCUGAAUCCGUCAAGUCAGUUUCAAACUCUGCUGGGAUUGCUGUAGUCAUCUUUGCUUCAAAUCAUUCCAGUCAGAAUUAAAGUUAUCCAAGCCGCUCCAGUGUCGGCUCCAGCCCCAGAGCUCGCUCCAGUGUCGGCUCCAGCCCCGGAGGGCAUCAAGAAUCAGUUCCUGCAGCCCCCGAGUCUCUUCCAAUAGCCCCCACAGUCCUUCCCCAGUCAAUAUUGGAACCUAGUCCAGAGGUGUUUAGUUCGGUGGUCUUGUUGUCAGAACCUCAAGUCAUAGUUACAAGGGUAUUCUACCAAACCUCCCAGCCUAUUUGACUGUUACAGAAGUUGUACCGGAGACUGUUCUAGCCUCUCACAUCCUGUCAUCAGAAGUCAAUCUUGUCACCAUGCCCACUGAAGUUUCUCCUGUCAUUUGUCAAGUGUCCAGAGAUCACUCCUGUCAUGUCCACAGAUGCUGUCUAGUCCCCAGAGUUCACUCCUGUCAUGUCCACGGAAGAUGUUGUCAAGCAUCCAGAGUUCACUCCUGUCAUGUCCACGGAAGAUGUUGUCAAGUCAUGCCUUCAGAGGUUGUCCCUACCCAUCAUGUCUGGGCCAUACAAAGUGUUCCUGCUUGUCCUGUCACUCCUAUAGAGGUCGUUCCUGCCAGUUGGGUCAUGGCCAUAGUUGUUCCUACCGUCAAGUUAUGGCCAUAUAAAAUGUUCCUGUCUGUCCUGUUAGGCCUACAGAGGAUGUUCCUGCCAGUUGGGUCAUGGCCAAAGAGGGUGUUCCUGCCUGUCAAGUUAUGGCCAUAUAAAAUGUUCCUGUCUGUCCUGUUAUGUCCUGAGGCCGCCCUUGCCAGUUGGGUCAUGGCCAUGGAGAUGCGUUCUUGUUUGUCUUGUCAAGCCCACAAAGGUUGUUCCUGCUAGUCAAGGUACAGUCACUGAGAUCAUACCAGACCAGCUAUCUGCUGCUUCUGAUGAGUCCCUCAGAGGAUGAUCCUGAUAGAAGUUGCGCCCACUGAGAUCAUACCAGACCAGCAAUUGGCUGCUUCUGACGAGUCCCUCAGAGGAUGUUCCUACUAGUUGUCAGCCACCUGAAGAGGCUAUCCUGUCUGUUUUGUCCCAUCCUUGAAGAUUGUUCCUGUUUGUCUUGUCAAGCCCAAGGAGGUGGUUCCUGCUAGAAGUUGCACUCACUGAGAUCAUACUGGAUCAGCUAACUGCUGCUUCUGACGAGUCCCUCAGAGGAUGUUCCUGCCUAGAAGUUGCACCACUGAGAUCAUACCAGACCAGCUAUCUGCUGCU